ACCUGACUAGCUCAGUCGGUAGAGCAUGUGACUCUUGAUCUGGGGGUUGAGUUUGAGUCUCAUGUUGGGUA
rnacentral:tRNA from 1 species